AUAAGUGUCGUUUAAUGACUUCCCAAAGGGUCGCGAUCUCGUGAGGGUGAGCUAACUCCAAAAACCCGUCCUCAGUUCGGAUUGCAGGCUGCAACUCGCAUGUAUGAAGCAGGAAUCGCUAGUAAUCGCUGGUCAGCCAUAUGGCGGUGAAUCCGUUCC
rnacentral:ncRNA from 1 species